rnacentral:rRNA from 1 species
UACAGAGGUCUCAAGCGUUGUUCGGAUUCAUUGGGCGUAAAGGGUGCGUAGGCGGCGCGGUAAGUCGGGUGUGAAAUCUUGGAGCUUAACUCCGAAACUGCAUUCGAUACUGCCGUGCUUGAGGACUGGAGAGGAGACUGGAAUUUACGGUGUAGCGGUGAAAUGCGUAGAUAUCGGGAAGAACACCCGUGGCGAAGGCGGCUCUCUGGGCAAUUCCUGACGCUGAGGCGCGAAAGCGUGGGGAGCAAACGGG